UGUUCAUGAUCUUCAGUUGUUGGUUUUCUAGAUUACUUAUAUUAUAUGCUCGUACAUUUUGAUUCCUUGAGGUCUAUAUGCAUAUAAAUUAUCCUGUUGUAUAUAGCUUACUGUGAAAUACGAUGUUAUCUAGUUUAUGUAAUUGAUUCCAUGUAAUCACGUUGUGAAUUUAUUUUUUUGCUAAAUAAUCACGUUGUGAAUUUGUGAUAAUAUUCUUGUGGGGUUGGUUCUUGGUCUAGGAACAUGUUGGGCUUGUUUCUUGGUUUAGCAACAUGAUCUAUGCAUUUCCAAAUGGCGAUAUAGACCUUUUUAAAUUUGUGUGCUUGUCUAGUGCAUCAAAUAAUUUUGGGCUUCCGGAAGAGUAAUUAGUAUUUUGACAGAGAUCAAUUCAAUAUGGUGAAUAAGAAAUCUACAGAAUUUAAUUGCUUUGCGAAUGCUUCAUUUAUGCAUUUCCAUGACUAAAUUUUAAAGAAGAUUAACCUUCUGUUUUUUUUUCUUUCUGCCAAAACACUAUUCCAAGUUUUCAUUUUAAGUUAUAUAUUUUCAUACAUAUGGCAGGGAUGAAAAGAAGUUCAUCUUGGGAUUUGUUUCUGAGUGACGGGUUAUUAAUAUUUUACAAAUCAUGUGAAGUACUAUCUAAUUAUUGUUUCUCUUGUACCACUACGUGUCUCUUUGCCAUGAAGUUCUUGCUUUCUGUCUUGUUUUCCACUCUUUACAGACCACCCACGCAGAUACGUUAAAAACUAGGUAGUACAUGUACUCCUGUAAUUGGCAAAAUUGGCAACAAUUGGGUUUUAACUUCGUCAAGAGAAAGAUAUUACUUUUUUGGUGCGUGCGAAAUGUGUUUUAUUCCUCAGUGUCAAGUAUAUAACAAGUAUAUAGAACGUUAAGAUUCCCAUAUUUGUAAUUUGAGUCUGUUGGAAAAUAGCGACGAAUCAUUCUUGAUGGAGUACAGUUUGCAAAGUACUUAUUUAUUUGUAUUUUUUGCUAAAAGUAUUUACAUUUAUGUAUAUCAUUACAGUAAUUUAAAAGUUGUCACCAAGACUUGUUUGCCUUCAGAUGGGAAAAUUAGAAUCACAUGGUGCAUUAUAGGGUGCGCUAUGAAAGACAAAAUCAAAAUGACUCGAACAUAACGUUUGUAAGGGUUAUGCAUGUGUUGACAAGCUACUUGAUUUACCUCAUUUACUCGAUAUGCAACUUGGUUUGUUUCCAGAUUGCACAUGCUAUGAUCAGGUGGCUAUUUAAGGUUGUGCUGUUGAUCGACCUUCUGAUGCAUUUUGUUCAUUAUGUUCAGUUUAGGAUCGUCUACAUCUUGGUCGCUGUCCGAUUCAAAAUGUUAAUGCGAAGCCAAAGAGAUCACUGCAAGUGUUUGCGUUAACCUAUUUGUAACCUUUUGGGAUGUUGAUUUAGGUGUUUAUGCUUUGUUCUAAUAACAUACUGCCGUAUAGGCGUAUAGUUUACUUAUAUAUAUAUAUAUGAUUGUUGUAGAGACGAGAUGUUGAACUGUUUGACAAAACUUUAAGGUGAGUAGGAUCGUCCAAGUCCACUAAAUAUGGGGAUACAGUGUAAUAAUUUUAUUCGUUACACGUUCCAGGAAUUGUCCAAGUUUAAUGGUAUUAGUCAUCCAAAGGUAUUGAAUUAUUAGUACCUACAAAGUUAGAAAAUGUACACAACCUAGCAAUUGGAUCUUCCUGAUAUACACCCCCAAAAAUGAGUUCUUUUGAAAAUUUUAAAUGUAAUCUACUUUGGUGUAAUAGAUGUAUGCAACCGUAAUACUUGUUGACAAUAUCUGAGAGAGAAAUUUGAAAAACUAAUAUUCUAAUCAGCCGUUUCAAAAUAAACAACUACACUAGCAAAAAAAGGACAAUUUUGAGUAGGGAUUUCUCUUCAAAAUGCAUUUUGAUCAGAGAACGUUAUCGAUCGUUUCAGCCUCUUAUGUAAGCAACUCUGUGUGUAUAUCAACUUGAUUCUGAAGCAACAAGAGUCAAAUCUUUGUUUGAAGUUCUGCAUAAAAUGUUUGCUCUUGUUGUUAUAGAAUAGAUGAGAUGAUGCAAGGACAGAGAGGAUGGCGAGAACUGGCGUUUCUCGGUGACAAGGUUUCUUGUUAUAAACCUGAUGCUUGGGCUUUCGAGGAAGGUACUCCUCAUUCUGAUUUCCCUGGACCUAACUCUGGGAUCACAACAUGUGUAGCUGUUAUUAGACACACAGCUUGUUGUUUCAAAUGAUGGUGACUAACGUUGUGUGAUAUCGAGAAUUAAAAGGGUCAGGUAAAAGUAGAGGUUUAUUAAGCACUUUGAUUAAUACUUCGGCUUUUAAAGUGUGUGUUUUUGUGUGCGUGUAUAAGCGUACAAUCUUUGUAGAGACCACAAACCAGAUCUUGAAGCUGAGAAAGAAAGGAUACUGAAAUCUGGUUGAGUUAAUGGAAGCUUCAAUCUAGCAAGAGCUAUCGGUAACAUUUCUUCUUCACACAAUGCAACUUGUUUGCAUAACUAAGUUUUUACCAACUGAAAAGCAAAUAUAUAGUUACCGCUAGUCGAGAUAUAAACACUGAAAGUGGGUCUAACGCCUCUUCUCUUUCUCCUGAAACAUCUUCUCUGUGUCACAUCUAAUGAUAUCUUCCUUGUUCUUGCCUGCGAUGGAACUUGGUAAUCAUCUUGUUCUCCAGAAAAGUUCAUUUGUGAUAGUGAUACUGAAGGAAUGAUUGACUUGUUAUGUUGUUGGCCUUAAAGAAGAUAUCAUCAUCAUCAUCAUGUAAACA